rnacentral:pre_miRNA from 1 species
CAAGUACUCCCUCCGUCCGGAAUUACUUGUCAUCAAAAUGGAUGUGUCUAGAACUAAAAUACAUCUAGAUACAUCCAUUUCAAUGACAAGUAUUUUUGGACGGAGGGAGAACAAG